GACGAACGCUGGCGGCGUGCUUAAUACAUGCAAGUCAACUUGACUUUAGAUAGCAAUAUCGAAAAGUAGGGUGGCGCACGGGUGCGUAACGCGUAGGUAAUCUGCCCUGAGGUCUGACAUAACCCGUCGAAAGGCGGGCUAACAUCAGAUGAUAUAUAGUCACGACAUCGUGGAAAUAUCAAAUCUUCGGAGCCUUGGGAUGAGCCUGCGUCUGAUUAGGUAGUUGGCGGAGUAAUAGCCCACCAAGCCUACGAUCAGUAGCUGGUCUGAGAGGAUGAUCAGCCACACUGGAACUGAGACACGGUCCAGACUCCUACGGGAGGCAGCAGUAAGGAAUAUUGCUCAAU
rnacentral:rRNA from 1 species